rnacentral:tRNA from 1 species
AAGACACUAGUAGAACGUGACGAAUACACCGCCUUGUCAAGGCGAAGUCGCGGGUUUGAAUCCCGCGUGUCUUA